rnacentral:rRNA from 1 species
ACUGAAUAGAUACCCUGGUAGUCCACGCCGUAAACGAUGAGUACUAGGUGUAGGAGGUCGAUCCCUCCUGUGCCGUAGCUAAACGCGUUAAGUACUCCGCCUGAGGACUACGGUCGCAAGACUAAAACUCAAAGGAAUAGACGGGGACCCGACACAAGCGGUGGAGCAUGUUGUUUAAAUUCGACACUAAACGAGAAACCUUACCCAGGUUUGACAUCCCGAGAACCCUGCAGAGAUGCGGGGGUGCCGCAAGGAACUCGGUGACAGGUGCUGCAUGGUUGUCGUCAGCUCGUGCCUUGAGGUGUUCGGUUAAGUCCGUGAACGAGCGCAACCCUUGUCCUGUGUUAUAUAUGUCACAGGAGACUGCCCUGGUUAACAGGGAGGAAGGCGAGGAUGACGUCAAAUCAGCAUGGCCCUUAUGCCUGGGGCUACUAACGUGCUACAAUGGGACAUACAAUGGGCGGCCAAGCGGCAACGCGGAGCUAAUCCCAUCAAAGUGUCUCUCAGUUCGGAUUGGGGGUCUGCAA